rnacentral:rRNA from 1 species
GAUGAACGCUGGCGGCGUGCCUAAUACAUGCAAGUCGAGCGAACGGACGAGAAGCUGGCUUCUCUGAUGUUAGCGGCGGACGGGUGAGUAACACGUGGAUAACCUACCUAUAAGACUGGGAUAACUUCGGGAAACCGUAGCUAAUACCGGAUAAUAUUUUGAACCGCAUGGUUCAAAAGUGAAAGACGGUCUUGCUGUCACUUAUAGAUGGAUCCGCGCUGCAUUAGCUAGUUGGUAAGGUAACGGCUUACCAAGGCAACGAUGCAUAGCCGACCUGAGAGGGUGAUCGGCCACACUGGAACUGAGACACGGUCCAGACUCCUACGGGAGGCAGCAGUAGGGAAUCUUCCGCAAAGGGCGAAAGCCUGACGGAGCAACGCCGCGUGAGUGAUGAAGGUCUUCGGAUCGUAAAACUCUGUUAUUAGGGAAGAACAUAUGUGUAAGUAACUGUGCACAUCUUGACGGUACCUAAUCAGAAAGCCACUGCUAACUACGUG